AUGACAUUGUCAGCCAAUCCCCAUGCAGGAGUGAGGACAUAUCCUGCAAAUCCCGUGGCGUUCUUUGAUGUCAGCACUGGCGGCCAGGAAGUUGGCCGCAUGAAGAUGGAGCUCUUUGUGGACGUUGUGCCUAAGACGGCUGAGAAUUUUAGACAGUUCUUCUCUGGAGAAUUCAGAAAAGGUGGGGUUCUGAUACGAUACAAAGGGAGCACCUUCCACAGGGUCAUAAAGGAUUUCAUGAUUCAGGGUGGGGAUUUUGUUAAUGGAGAUGGUACUGGAGUUGCCAGAAUUUACCGGGGGUCAUUUGCAGAUGAAAAUUUUAAACUGAGACACUCAGCUCCAGGCCUGCUUUCCAUGGCAAACAGUGGUCCCAGUACAAAUGGCUGCCAGUUCUUCAUCACCUGCUCUAAAUGUGAUUGGCUGGAUGGAAAGCACGUAGUGUUCGGAAAAAUCAUUGAUGGACUUAUAGUGAUGCGAAAGAUUGAGAAUGUUCCCACAGGCUUCAGCAAUAAGCCCAAGCUGCCUGUGGUGAUCUCACAGUGUGGGGAGGGUGUAGUCCAGAGCAAGACUGAUCAAACCUUCACCUCUCUGCCAUUGUAG